ACUGCCCUCAACUUCUGAAAGGAAGAAACUCAUUCUAAAGGCAAAGAGUCUUCUGUCUUCCACCUAGCUGUUUCUCUCUUUAGCCAGCCUCUUCCAUCUCCACUGUCCACUGAGUGGUCAGAAAGACCAACAUCAUUCAAGCACUCACAAAGCCCAGAGCCUGGGAUCAUCUGGGACUCUUUUCUCCAGCUAAUCUCCACUAGUCUAUGGCGAUCCUAGUCUCUGUCCCUCCUGCAUUCAGUCCACAUGGCUCAAGGGAGGUCACCACUUUCCCAUCUGAAGGAAUGGAUCUAUUGUUUAAGCCAGUGGUUCUCAACCAAGGCCCGACUGAGGCAAAUGGCGAAGAUCUCAGUGUUGACAUGCCCUUGACCUCUUGCUGGGGCUUCAGACUUGCAGAAACCCGCCAGCCUUCUGCCCUCUCCCACUACCCUACUUACUACCCAGGCCUGCCUUCAUCAUUUCCCUGGCAGGUGAACUCUGGCUCUGAAGGAAUCGGGGAAGUUUAAGUUUUAUUUCUUCCCUUUGUUCCCAGCAAUGGCUCUAAGGUGAGUUUUUUUU